rnacentral:misc_RNA from 1 species
GAUGAAGAACGUAGCGAAAUGCGAUACUUGGUGUGAAUUGCAGAAUCCCGUGAACCAUCGAGUCUUUGAACGCAAGUUGCGCCCGAAGCCAUUAGGCCGAGGGCACGCCUGCCUGGGCGUCACACGUCGUUGCCCCCCCAUCUACUCCUUCGGGAUUGCGGGGGGCGGAUGAUGGCCUCCCGUGCGCCUCGUCGCGCGGUUGGCAUAAAUGCCAAGUCCUCGGCGACGCACGCCACGACAAUCGGUGGUUGCGAAACCUCGGUUGCCCGUCGUGUGCGGUCGUCGCGCAUCGAGGGCUCGAAAAAAUUGUCGGGCUCCGGCUCGGCUUUCAACGCGACCCCAGGUCAGGCGGGGUUACCCGCUGAAUUUAAGCAUAUCAAUAAGCGGAGGAA